rnacentral:rRNA from 1 species
GUAGCUAUGUUCUUGAAAUUCAAAGGAUUUGGCGGUAUUUUAGUCUAUUCAGAGGAACCGGUCCUGUAAUUGAUGAUCCACGUUUAAUUUGACUUGUUUGAGUGGUUUGUAUAUCGUCGUAGAUGGAAUGUUUUAUGAGAAAAAGGAAUGUUCAUGAUUUACAAUAGAUAAAGAAAAUCAGAUCAAGAUACAGCGUAUAGGCAAGGAGAGAUGGGUUACAAUAAAUUUAUUUACAUGGAUAAAUAAGUUAACACUAUUUUGAAAUUGGAUUUGAUAGUAAUAAGGUUAAGUUAAACUUUAUGAUUUUAGCUCUAUAAUAUGCACAUAUCGCCCGUCGCUCCCACUCUAAAGUGGGAUAAGUCGUAACAAAGUAGGUGUACUGGAAAGUGUACCUAGAACGACAGGCUAGAGCUUGCUACAAAGCGUUUUAUUUACAUUAAAAAGUUAGUUGUGAAAUUCAAUUUAGCUUGAAAUUAUCAGCUUAUUAAUUUAGGUUUCCAUAAAGUAUUAUUUUUAUUAGUAUUUUUUUGAAUAUAGAGUUAGAUUUAUAGUGAACUAGUACAGUGAUGGUCUGCUUACAGGUAAAUUUAAUUUUUGGUAAGAAGAUUUUUUUUGUCGUACCUUGUGUAUCAGGGUUUAUUAAAAUAAUUUUUGUAAAAAAAUUUUCUCGAAUUGGAAAGAGCUAGAAGUGUAUAUAUUUAAUUGUAACAUAAAUUUUUAGAAUACACUUCUUGAAGUGAAACGUUAUUCGUUUUUUAAGAUAUCUAGUUUCUUAAGAAAUAAAUUUAAUUUAGCCCUUUGCUUUGGCCGUUCUUACUACUAUAGUAACGUCAAGGAUUGGAGAAAUGUUACUAGGGAUAAGCUUUGUAACAUCAUAUUAAAGUUUAAUUUUAUGAAUAAAAGUUAGUAGGAUUGGAAUUGUCUAUCUAGAGGAUGUUAUAAUUAACUUUUAGUUAAAUAAGAUUUAUAUAAAACUUAAGUUGUUUAUUAAGAUGAUGCUUUUAAUUGUUACUGUCAUGCAAUAAUGAUAGAAUUAGUAUAUAUUUUUAUAGAGUUAAGUAGAGAUGCAAGGUUAGGCUAAGGAACUCGGCAAAUUAGUUUUCCGCCUGUUUACUAAAAACAUGUCUUUUUGAUUAUAAUUUAAAGUCUGACCUGCCCAAUGAGGAUUUGAAUGGCCGCGGUAAUUUGACCGUGCAAAGGUAGCAUAAUCAUUAGUUUCUUAAUUAGAAGCUGGAAUGAACGGUUGGACGAGAAAACGACUGUCUCGGUUUAAUUUUUUUAGAACUUUAUUUUUGAGUAAGAAAGCUCAAAUAUUUUUAAAAGACGAGAAGACCCUAUAGAAUUUUAUACUUUAUUUUAUAAGUUAUUUUUUAGUAUCUAAUGAUUUUUAUACAUUAAAGUAUUUUGUUGGGGCGGCGAGAAAAAUUGACUUAACUUUUUUUAUCUUAGAACAUA